rnacentral:misc_RNA from 1 species
CACAGCGUAAGUUAUUCGAGGUAAAGACGAUGAGAAUCUACUACGACGACGAAAAACAACGCCGCACUUCAGCUAGUAUAAGUUGAAUGACUUUAUCAUCCUGCAGUAACUUGAUUGCAGACUUUGUAAAUCAACGUAUAAUCAGCCAACGUCACUGGAUGCGUGAAGGGUACGAUUAUACCUCUCGAUAUAUUGACUUCGAUCACAGCUUACAUGCUUACAUUUUUAACUCGAGAUAACCAACGAGCUUUAUCAUCGUCUCUGAGAUAAGAUUAUUGACACAGGAG